CGUCAUGCCUUAAUGAGGGAAUCUGGUCCGGAUGAAACAAGCCAUCCAAUGCCAGAGCCGUCCCCGCGACUGUAGGAUGGUCGCCUGUCAAUCGACCACUGGGAUCUGGUUUUACCGCCCCGGGAAGGCAGACAGGCAAGAAUGACCACAAGCCAGGAGACCUGCCUUAUGUUGUUU
rnacentral:ncRNA from 1 species